GGGUGACAGGUGGUGCAUGGUUGUCGUCAGCUCGUGUCGUGAGAUGUUGGGUUAAGUCCCGCAACGAGCGCAACCCUCGACCUUAGUUGCCAGCAUUCAGUUGGGCACUCUAAGGUGACUGCCGGCUAAAAGUCGGAGGAAGGUGGGGAUGACGUCAAAUCAUCAUGCCCCUUAUGACCUGGGCUACACACGUGCUACAAUGGGCGGUACAAAGGGUCGCGAACCCGCGAGGGGGAGCCAAUCCCAAAAAGCCGCUCUCUGUUCGGAUUGCAGGCUGCAACUCGCCUGCAUGAAGCCGGAAUCGCUAGUAAUCGCGGAUCAGCAUGCCGCGGUGAAUACGUUCCCGGGCCUU
rnacentral:rRNA from 1 species